AAGAACGGCACUUCAAAAAGUCUUGGCUCUAGGAUUUGUAAUAUAACCAUUGCUUUUAUUUAAAGAAGACAACUAUUAUUCCCUUAAUUUUCUUGCUUUCUCCAACUAGUUAAAGUUGAUCGGGUACUUUACUUUCUCACAAAAGUUGAAAUCAAGCUGGUCACAUAUCUUUUGAGAUUAGUUGGUUUCAAGUCCUCAACUAAGGACAAAGUUUUCACUGAAGACUUAGAGCUUUCAUUACAAGAUGGAGUUUACAUGAUGCUCGAAGGAUGUGAUACUGCAUAAAGACGAGGUAGAAAUCUCGGAGUGGUGCAUGUACGGGUCGUCUAUUUUAGAAUUUCCUUGAUGGAACUGAAAAAUGGUAGAAGCAUACUACAUGGUCGGAGAUGAGAGAAUUUUUUUUUUUUUGAAGUAUUUAAGCACCUUAGUAAGCUACAAUCAUAUUCAAUGUUCAUCCUUCUUCUUUGGUGCAACCUUUUCGCAAAAGGAAUCAGAUCAGGUAUGUUAAGGAUAUCCCUUCUUUCUUUUGGCAUGAUUCAUGCGAUACAAACGAAACGUGCAUAUGCACAAAUUCCAUGAAUGGCUCUAUUCAUAGAAGUAUUAGAGAUAUCUAUGUUCUUGAAUUUUAGUGUGUCAUAAUAUAUUAUCAUCUGUUCAUGGGUCUCAAAAAAAUAUGAAAGUUGAAAAGAGUUUACUUUAUAAUAUUACUCAAAGGAAAAAUGGUCUUAUGAGAUUCCGAAAUAUNNNNNNNNNNNNNNNNNNNNNNAAAGGUUACGGCGUUAUAUACGCACCACCACCUGAUCAGCUUGUAUAUGAUGAUGAUGUUGCCCACAGUGGCUGAAAUAUAAUUCAAACAGCAUUAUAUACGUGUAUAUAUGUAUGUAUUCAAACGACGUUAUAUACGCGUAUAUAUGUAUGUAUAUAUAUGUAUAUGGGAUAUGGGAAAGGUUAUGGUAUUAUAUACGCACCACCACCUGAUCAGCUGGUAUACGAUGAUGACUUUGCCCACAGUGGCCGAUAUGAUAUGAUGGGAUGCCCUCAGAGGCUGAAUGUAAUGAAACAUGUACCUAUGCACGACAUGAUAUUCAUACGCAUAUGCAUGACGCUAAAAGUAAUUUUUAAUUUACAGAGUUAUCCAGAUAUACCGGUUGAGUCAAUUACUCUAUAUUUCUUCCAUGCUUGUUAUGUACUUAUUUAUGUGCCUUACAUACUCAUUAUAUUAUUCGUAUUGACAUCCCUUUUGCCUGGGGAUGUUGCGUUUCAUGCCUGCAGGUCCAGAUAAAUGGGUCGAGAGCCCUCCAAGUAGGCUAUCAGCUCAGCGGAAGAUGUUGGUGCGCUCCAUUUGCUUUGGAGUUGCAUGUUUGGUUAGUAUAAUUUAGAGGCUUGUAGACAUAUGUCUUGUACGUGAAAGAUUGUACGGCCUUGUUGGCCUAUGUUUGAGUUUAUAAAAGAUCAUGUUGGCCUAUUAGGCCCGUAUGUCACGUGUAUAUGAUGAUGUAAUAAGAAAGAUACGUUACAUUGGUACUCGGUUGAGUAAGGUACCGGGUGCCUGUCGUGGCCCAUCGGUUUGGGUCUUGACAUUUGAGGUGA
rnacentral:lncRNA from 1 species